AAUGCACUUGGCUCCAGCCCCCCUCUCAUUUAGCCAAAUAGAAAAGUCCUCAUCUCUCAUUUGGUACACAAAAUAGAAAAGCCCUCAUCUCUCAUUUACCCAAAUCCACUGGUCCUAACUCUGUUGUCGGAAGAGCCUUUGUGGUUCACGAGCUUUAGGAUGACCUCGGAAAGGGUGGGCAUGAGCUUAGUCUGACCACUGGUAACGCAGGCGGGAGACUGGCAUGCGGUAAUGAUUAAUUUUUUCGAUUCCUCUGCCAUUGUUUCAAGCGUUUACAUAUGUAUAAUAAGAAUUCUUUUUCAUUAGAAAGGUUUUCAGCUUUUUUUUAUUAGAUAAUUAGUGUACUAUCAAUAGCGGUUUCAUCUCACGAGCUACGUGGGUCCUAACGAAGGUGUGGUUGGUAUGACCCCGCUCUAAGUCUGGGAAGUAACGUACUCUGCUGUCUACUGUAUUGUGUUUCGUCAAAUAAUGUUUGGGCUGAAUAAACUUUUGAUGUUUAUAUU